GCUGCCUUCCGAAGCCGACUCAAGGACUGGGGACUUGGUGGAUCUAUGGCACUGGUACCCAUAGAGGUCAUCUGCACAGGCAAAUUUGUCGCCACCCUUCAACCCUGGCCUACCGGAUCUGCGGGGAGAAAUGUAGCAUUUGAAUUGGGGAAUGUUCAAUCCUGUCUGCUGGGCAUUUAUUUACAAAUAUCAGCUCCAACCCAGCAGUAAGAACGUCUCAAACACUCAGAGGACUUUGCGGGAAGCACACUCCCUCCUUGUUUUGGGUUACAGGGAAAGCCCAGGAAAGCGAGUCCCAGAAGGCCUGGGACAGCUACACCCAGUUCGCCCAUGCUCAACCCGGAACAGCCGACCCAAACGGUCAGGAAGGACUUUCUGGAAGCCCACCUCCAUAUGCUCACCAGCCCACCCUCCUACGCUGGUCAGAGUGAGAUUGCUAACCUCAAGACCCCAUUCAAUGCCAGCUUUCAACUACUGCUGAAGACCAAUGUAGGUCCCAGGAUAGAAGAACCGCAGAGUAUCCGGAGCUGGCCGACCCCAGACUGAUUCUCAACAGGUGGCUGGGUAGUGACCCCCAUUCUGUGUUGGUAGUACGGGACCCAUCGCACACAGAGAAGCUACCUUCUCACACCUCACCCCGUUGGCCCAAAGACUGACCACCCGCGCCCGAGUCGGGGGGUGGGAAUCCCGGAUGACACACACACACACACACACACACACACACACACACACACACACACCAGGGUAGGAGAACAGGGAGGACCUUACCUGCAGAAAGGUAAGAGAAACCGGGAGCGUGUA
rnacentral:lncRNA from 1 species